rnacentral:rRNA from 1 species
AGUCAUAUGCUUGUCUCAAAGUUUAAGCCAUGCAUGUCUAAGUAUAAGUUCUUUAUUGCGAAACUGUGAAUGGCUCAUUAUAACAGUUAUCAUCUUCUAGUCAGUCAGUAUUCCCUUGGACACCAAUGGUAAUUCUAGAGCUAAUACAUGCUUUCAAAUCCAACUUCAUGAAGGAUUGCGCUUAUUAGAUAUCGAACCAACCCAGAUUUGACCUGGUAAUCGUUGAUUCAUAGUGGUCUGGCGAAUCGACUCGCAAGAGACGAUAAGGCUACCAAGUUUCUGACCUAUCAGCUUCCGACGGUAGGAUAUGGGCCUACCGUGGCUGUGACGGGUAACGGAG